CCUACGGGUGGCAGCAGUCGGGAAUAUUGCGCAAUGGAGGAAACUCUAACGCAGUGACGCCGCGUGCAGGAAGAAGGUCUUCGGAUUGUAAACUACUUUAGACAGGGAAGAAAAAAGUCAGUACCAGUAGAAUAAGCUUCGGCUAACUACGUGCAAGCAGCAGCGGUAAAACGCAGGGAGCAAGCGUUAUCCGGAUUUAUUGGGUGUAAAGGGUGCGUAGACGGAGAUGCAAGUUAGUUGUGAAAUCCCUCGGCUUAACUGAGGAACUGCAACUAAAACUACUACGCUUGAGUACUGGAGAGGAGAGUGGAAUUCCUAGUGUAGCGGUGAAAUGCGUAGAGAUUAGGAGGAAUACCAGUGGCGAAGGCGACCCUCUGGACAGUAACUGACGCUGAGGUACGAAAGUGUGGGGAGCAAACAGGAUUAGAUACCCGGGUAGUC
rnacentral:rRNA from 1 species